CACAAGUUCCGGGGACGGUGAAAGUCCGUACCGGCGGUUACAGUCCGCGACCUGAAACAUAUGUUUCGGCUGACUCGGUGAAAUUCCGAGACCGACAGUUACAGUCUGGAUGGGAGGAACUUGUG
rfam:Brevibacterium mcbrellneri ATCC 49030 contig00024, whole genome shotgun sequence.